rnacentral:rRNA from 1 species
UCCGUAGGGUGCGAGCGUUAAUCGGAAUUACUGGGCGUAAAGCGUGCGCAGGCGGUCUGUUACGACCGAUGUGAAAUCCCCGGGCUUAACCUGGGAACUGCAUUGGUGACUGGCAGGCUUUGAGUGUGGCAGAGGGAGGUAGAAUUCCACGUGUAGCAGUGAAAUGCGUAGAGAUGUGGAGGAAUACCGAUGGCGAAGGCAGCCUCCUGGGCCAACACUGACGCUCAUGCACGAAAGCGUGGGGAGCAAACAGG